UUACGGUCAUAUCACAUUGAAUCACCAGUUCCCGUACGAUCACCGACGUUAAGCAGCGUUGAGCUUGUUCAGUACCUAGAUGGGUGACCGCUUUGGAAUACCAGAUGCCGUGA